GAUGAACGCUAGCGGCAGGCCUAAUACAUGCAAGUCGAACGAGAUUAAGAGGCUUGCUUCUUAUGAAAGUGGCGCACGGGUGCGUAACGCGUAUGCAACCUACCUUAAUCAGGGGGAUAGCCCGAAGAAAUUCGGAUUAAGACCGCAUAAAAACACAGGAUAGCAUUAUCCAAUGUUCAAAUAUUUAUAGGAUUAAGAUGGGCAUGCGUAUCAUUAGCUAGUUGGCGGGGUAACGGCCCACCAAGGCGACGAUGACUAGGGGAUCUGAGAGGAUGACCCCCCACACGGGUACUGAGACACGGACCAGACUCCUACGGGAGGCAGCAGUAAGGAAUAUUGGUCAAUGGAGGGAACUCUGAACCAGCCAUGCCGCGUGCAGGAAGACAGCCCUCUGGGUCGUAAACUGCUUUUAGUCGGGAAUAAACCUUUCUACGUGUAGGAAGCUGAAUGUACCGAAGGAAUAAGGAUCGGCUAACUCCGUG
rnacentral:rRNA from 1 species